rnacentral:lncRNA from 1 species
AACAUAAUUUAUGUACAUUUAUGGCUUUAUACAAUAAUAGCAAAGAUUGUUCUUGUGUCUGUAAUUACAUCAGCAUCAUCAGGCACUUCUCAGAGAGUAUCGGAACAAGAACAUGGAAUCUGCGCUGUUACUGAACUCGAGUAGUGAAAUGCAGGAGGCCAUGGCCAUGUCCUGACAGGACUCCUAGGGCCAAACCUGACCAUACUGCCAGGAUCUGUGCACACCACCCGCAGGGAGGAGGCCAAGAGUAAUGCAAGGCUGUUUCAUUUGCAUAAACCACAUUGCAUUUUUUAAUGAAUGAUUACUCCCAAACCAAAACCACUAGAAAAAUUUCUCAUUUAAAAGUCAGUUAUAAAUUAAGAACUCUUAAGAGCUGAAUGUGAGAAUUUCAAGUUAAGUCUGGGGAAGGGAGAGGGGUGUUGGUAACAUAUACCCAGGAGUUGAACUCAAGUCCAAAUUAUAUACCUUUGGAAAACUUUUUUUCCAUUUUAAGUGUCCUUUUCUUCUUGGUACAUUCCAUUGAUUUACUGCCAACUGGGAUACAACAUUUGCUAAUUAAUUUAGACUCUGUCAGUUUGCUGAAGCGGAACUUUGCAAGUACUGCAUCUAUUACCUAAAUAUAUUCCAUACGUCUAUAUUACGGAAACAAUACUUCAUAUUUAAAAUAUCAGAAUAGCUCUAUAAUACAAUAUGCUUUUAAUAACAGUACAAACCAGAGGAAAUAAAUCAAACAAGGCUGCAUAGGUGAUAUCAUUUGCACAUUUCACAAAGCAAUCAUGUACAAUAACUGAUAUACUACUUAUUCCAGAAAGUCAGUAUUCGUACAGAAAAAGAAUUACCAGAGGUCACAUAAUGUUUUUUUUUUUUUUUCAAAAUAGACAAGGUGCCUUUCACUGGACUUCACUGUACCCCAGAGAGAUACCCAAGAUUCAUGUUAGAAUCCCAACACAACAAAGAAUUUGAAGGGGAAAAAAAGGUAUUUACACAGACUAAGGAGGAAGAAACAUCUUUUUAAAAAUUACUCUAGGAUGUAGUUAAGAUUUUAAGAGCGAUUUCAGCUGUAGUUGCCUCUUUAUUGAACAAUGGGGUGUCUAAGGCUCAUCGUGUGAGGGCAUGGAGGAGGAAAAAAGGUGGACAUGGCAACAGGAAUAAGAACCCAAGUAUUCUGGCACCAAGUUCUAUUACAUAUGCAGAAGGCACUGCUUAGAGGAACGAGGGUUUCCAAAACCAGACAUAUUUUGGAGUGGCCAACAGUGAAGAUAGUUGGAGAGGCGGCUACUGAAUGAAUCUUCAAAAUAGCAGAAGUCACAGUGGAAAGCUUACAAUAGAGCUGGCCCUCCUAUAGAAAAUCUUUCAGAAACACUUGUGUUCUUGUUAAACACGUAGGAAAAACCAAGCCAACAGAUCAGCAACUCACAUGCAAGACAAAGCAAGUGGGAUCUGGGCUAAGUACACAGAAAGAAAUCAGAGCCUUCUCAAGAAGUCAAGAGGAACUUUUUAGUGCACCUGCUUCUUUUAUUGUGCUGACUUAGGGCAUUCCACAUGACCUGAAGAUACCGAUGGACACAAAGCCAAAUUAACAUUGGUCUGUUGGUUGUAGGUCAGCGCAGAAUAUUAAAACAUCAUGAUGCAGAAUUAUAGUUCAGGUUGCUAAGGGCUAAAGAAAUUCUCCAAUUUUUAACUUACAUUGAGAACUUUUAAAAUAAAUUCAAGAAAACAACAUACAGCUGGUGUGUUAGGUUUUCAAAUGAAUUGAUCCAAUUUUUAAAUAAGCUCUAUUCCCUUUGGUAGCCAUCUGCACACAGGGACACAAAGCAUUCUGCCAAUCACUAAAGUCCUAUUUUAAGUUUUCCUCCAUCCACCUGUGUUUCCACAGUGUGCUAAGUAAUCUGUGGGACAGAAGGGAGAGAGGGAUUAAGUGUGAGUCUUAACAUAAUCCUUUGAGGCAGAGCUACAAAACCAACCUCCACCUAGACCAAAAUAAGAGCAAAGUAGUAUGAGGGAAAACACUUGCUAAAGCUCAACUCAAAAAAAAAUAAAAAUAAAAAUAAAAAUAAAAAUAAAAUAAAGCUCAACUCAAAAAGGUUAAGUUGAUCAAAACUCCCAAUUUGAGAGAAGAGCACGGUUUUAGACACAGGACUCCUUUUCUGAUCCACAAACAUCACAAGGCCCCUCAGGAGUAACUGAAAUGACACAGCACACGGACAUUUAUCAGAAGACUCAAUGCUCUGGCGGUGCACUCAGAUCACGGGAUAAGAGGAGCAGAUAGAAUUUCUUUCAAACACGUACAUAAAAACAUAUUACGUUCUCCUAAACAUGAAACGCAAAAUGUCCACAACUAUACAUUGCUCUCUUGCCAAAACAGAGCCAGAAACGUUGAGUAUGCAAGUACUAAUUACAAUGAUUUUUAAGAUUAGUCAGAAACAACACCAAGUAGCAUCCCAAAGUGUAAAACCAGUUAAACACGUAUAAAAUCAGUACUAAUCCAGUUAGAAAUACAAAAUGAAAAUUAUGGAUGCUGCCUCCAAUAUCUGGGAUUCCACAAAUUUACAAGCAGACUAUGUAACAAAGUAGACUCUAGUUUUAAGAAAACAUUACAGUUCAAUAUCUAUUCCAAAAAUGAUCUCAAGUCCCAACGAUAACAUCAAAAAUCAUUUAUCCGGAAAUUAGAACCAUUUAAAUGUUUGUACAAAUUUGCAAAUAACAAAAUAAACAAAAAAAUAGAAAAGACCUGUACAAGGCUGGCAUUUAAACUAUUUUUCCCCGAAAGGUGUUUGACGAGUCCAUUAUUCAGCAGAUUGAUAACAGGCUAUUGGUUCUCAUGUGAAUCGUGUGGCUGUGUGAACAGGCCCAAAGCUGUUCCACAGAGGCGCAGGAUGGAGGAGAGUUGGUUCUCUGUAGUUCAUCUGUUCAGCAGAACACAGGUAGCACAAACCAAAGUUUAACUUAUCAAAGACAUGAGACCAUCACAGUAUUACAAGAAGAGUAUAAACUUUCCUUGGACCAAAUGGAUAUUUAAAAAAUAAAAACAAAAACAAAAAUACACACAAAUACAAUUCUGUAGCUACUGCUUAUGUACAAAAACUUGAAAGCACACCAGGAUCCGAAUGUCUUUUCUGCAAUUAUAUGGUGUAGUGAGUUUGGCACUUCAUUGUAAUGAAAUUUCCAAUGGCACAGUCCUUAUCUACAGCAGCACAUAACCUGCAAACAUCGGGCAAACUUCCUGUACAGGAAAAGUGUCUUC